rnacentral:lncRNA from 1 species
NUUUGGCCUAGGCUGAGGUCAACAAUAAACUAAGCAUCUGUAGUGUGUUUAUGUGACAUGCUUCAAGUUACCCAAGGAACCACUGGAACCAGACACCACGCAUAUUUCUCAGUCAACUUAGCAUGUGGUCACAUUUGUAUUUUUUAUUUUUAUUUUUUACAUUAUGAAAAGUGUAUUGGAAAGCUCUGAUUUCCCCCUGGAAAAAGAAUUUUAAUCCUUCCCUAUAAUAUGCUUCCAAACAUUUGCCAUCUACUAUCAUGCCUUCCCUAAAUCUUUUCUGUCCUGUGCAGAUAUUCUCAGCAAACUCAAGUACUUGUAUGGCACUAGCUUUAACAGAAAAC